UACGAGUGCCUCAAGCGUUAUCCGGAAUCAUUGGGCGUAAAGGUUGUGUAGGUGGUCAUAUUCGUCUUCUGUUAAAUUCUUCGGCUUAACCGGGGGCAUGCAGAGGAAACGGUAUGACUCGAGGAUGCGAGGGGUCUGUGGAACUCAUAGUGUAGCGGUGAAAUGCGUUGAUAUUAUGGGGAACACCAAAAGCGAAGGCAGCAGACUGGAGCACUCCUGACACUGAAACAAGAAAGCGUGGGUCGCGAAUGGG
rnacentral:rRNA from 1 species